rnacentral:rRNA from 1 species
AUGUGAAAGACCCGGGGCGUCAACCUCGGAAUAGCAUUUGAAACUAGGCAGACUAGAGUACUGUAGAGGGGGGUAGGAAGUUUCAGGUGUAGCGGUGAAAUGCGUAGAGAUCUGAAGGAAUACCGGUGGCGAAGGCGGCCCCCUCGGACAGAUACUGACACUCAGAUGCGAAAGCGUGGGGAGCAAACAGGAUUAGAUACCCUGGUAG